rnacentral:rRNA from 1 species
UACAGAGGUGGCAAGCGUUGUUCGGAAUUACUGGGCGUAAAGGGCGCGUAGGCGGCCAUCUAAGUCAGACGUGAAAUCCCCCGGCUUAACCUGGGAACUGCGCCCGAGACUGCUUCUCUUGAGUCCCGGAGAGGAAGAUGGAAUUCCCGGUGUAGCGGUGAAAUGUGUAGAGAUCGGGAGGAACACCGGUGGCGAAGGCGGUCUUCUGGACGGUGACUGACGCUGAGGCGCGAAAGCGUGGGGAGCAAACGGG